AGCAGCGUGGCUCAGUGGAAAGAGCCUGGGCUUCAGAGUCAGAGGCCAUGGGUUCGACUCCCGGCUCUGCCA
rfam:Ornithorhynchus anatinus chromosome 2, whole genome shotgun sequence.